UGUACCUGUACUGCAGGAAUAAGAAAACUCGCUAUUCACUCAGUUUAUUUUCCAUAAUAAGUUAUGUAGGAGAGAUGGCCGAGCGGUUCAAGGCGUAGCAUUGGAACUGCUAUGUAGACUUUUGUUUACCGAGGGUUCGAAUUCCUCUCUUUCCGUUUUUAUUAAUUCAUCAACGUUAAGGAUCACAAUGUAUCAAAUCAAAUAACAAUUUUUUCCAGCAAUAAUAUAAUAUCUUAUAUUAUCUUAUUUUGAUUUAAUAGAAAUUAGAAAUUCUCUAUAGCAAAUUACUGUGGUAUGUAAAAUACACAUAGAGGAAAAAAGAAAAAAGGAUCCUAAUCCUAGGGUUAAUCAAUUUUAGCUAGUUGAUGGGAAAAUACGAAUUAAUGGUAAUGGUCUUAGGGCAAUUUAGUUCGGGGAAAGGGGAAGGGGAAGAAAAUUCUAUGAACCUUUCCUUUUUUCGUUAAGUUCAAGUCUGACGAGAGUAAUAUUCUACAACUAACAACUCAUUUAUUUUGAGACCGACCCACUUCCUAUCUAGGACUUUAUUUACUAGUCCUUUAUAUUCCAACGUGUCAAUCGCCAAAUGCUUUGGCAAUUUCCCCGGGUCCGAUGAAGCAAUAUAAUUUUGAACCAGACCUUUUGAUCUUUGGUUAUCUUUCGUAGUAAUAAUAUCUCUGGGUUUGCAACGAAAACUUGGUAUAUUGACUAUACGACCAUUAACUAAAAUAUGUCUAUGGUUGACUAAUUGGCGGGCCCCAGGAAUGGUUGAAGCCAUACCCAAUCGAGAAAGGAUAUUAUCCAAACGCAUUUCAAGUAAUUUUAGUAAAACCUGGCCUGUUGACCUUUUUGCUUUUCCAGCGAUAUGUACAUAUCUAAGUAAUUGUCGUUCUGUCAGACCAUAAUGAAAACGCAAUUUCUGUUUUUCUUGAAGACGAAUACGAUAUUGCUCCUUUUUCCCAGAAUUGAAUUUUUUUAAGAUUACUUCCGGAUUUAGGUGUUUUUCUAGUGAGUCCUAGUAAAGCUCCCAGACGGCGUAUUUUUUUAAACAAGGUCCUCGAUAACGGGACAUGAAGACUCCUUUUUUAUUUUAUUGAAAUUUCAUUUUACACAAUUAAUUUCAUUGUAUUUACAUUACAGAAUACAUCAAAAUUAAAACUGAAUUAAACUACGGGAUAAACAGAGUAAAAUCAACUAAAGUACCCCAAAAAAUGGAAUUUCAUGAAAAUCUUUAUUUUAUAUAUAUAUAUAUAUAUAUUAUUUAUUUUAUUGUUUUGUAUCUAGCAAAAUUGUAAGGUAAAAAACAUAAAAGAUCCUGGAUUCUCCAUUUAAUUCGGAAUAAAAGAGAUUCUUGUUCGUAGAACAUCGAUAGAGAAAAAAAAGCCGACUAUCGGAUUUGAACCGAUGACCCUCGCAUUACAAAUGCGAUGCUCUAACCUCUGAGCUAAGUGGGCUUACAUAACGGAAAUAGUGUAACAAAUAGAAAUAGGUAUAGUAUAGGAAAUCCGUAAAAUCUCAGAUAUUAGUUAUUAAUCUUAGCUAUUAACUAGUUCUAAAUUUGAAGUUAUACUUAUAAAAAUAAAAAAAUACUAAAACUUCUUAAAGAUAAAGUUAGCUUGAUAUGCUUAACUAUAGGAUAUUAAAAAAUAAAAAUAUAGAAUUUAUUGGUAUUUUCAUUCGAUCAUUAUAGACUUUAUUAUUUGUUAAUAAUUUGAGGAUUAAAAUUUCACUAAGGGGAACAUAGAGUCAGAGUAAAUAAAAUUGCUAAUUUUGAUUAGAAAAAAAGAAUAAAUAUCAAGCGUUAUAGUAUAAUUUUGAAUACUAUAAAAAAGUAAGACGGGAGGUGGGAAUUAAACAAUGGAUACUUAAAAAAGUAGGUUCUACAAUGUUUCAAGAUCGUCGUGACAAGAGGAUAAAAGAUCUAUGAUAUGAUCAUAGAGAUGAAUUUCUGAAUUACGAGUUUGGCACAGAAUUAAGAUAUUGUGGAAAUUGUUUCACAACUAAUACAGCCUGGAACACCAUAGUGUGAUGGUGUGUCUGAACAUCAUAACUGCACCCUAUUGGAUAUGAUGCAUACCAUGAUGUCUCUCAUUGAAUUACCACAAUAGUUUUAUGGGUUAGGCAUUAGAGACAACCACAUUCACUUUAAAUAGGGCACCACGUAAUUCCGAUGAGAUGACACCGUAUGAACUAUGGUUUAGAGAAACCUAAGCUGUCAUUUCUUAGAAAGUUUGGGGCUGCGACGCUUAUGUGAAAAAGUUUCAGGCUGAUAAGCUCGAACCCAAAGCGGAUAAAUGCAUCUUCAUAGGACACCCAAAACAGUUGGGUACACCUCCUGUCUCAGAUUCGAAAGCAAUAAGGGAUUGUUUCUAGAAUCGAGUCCUUUCUCGAGGAAAAGUUUCUCUCGAAAGAAUUGAGUGGGAGGAUGGUGGAGACUUGAUGAGGUUAUUGAACCGUCUCUUCAACUAGUGUGUGGUAGGGCACAGGAAGUUGUUCCUGUGGCACCUACAUCAAUUGAAGUGGAAGCUUAUGAUAGUGAUCAUGAAACUUCAGAUCAAGUCACUAACAAACCUCGUGGGAUGACAAGGAUGUGUACUACUUCAGAGUGGUGCGUAAUCCUGUCUUGGAAGUCAUGUUGCUAGACAACAAUGAACCUACGAGCUAUGGAGAAGCGAUGGUGGGCCCGGAUUCCGAUAAAUGGCUCGAGGCCAUAAAAUCCGAGAGAGGAUCCAUGUAUGAAAACAAAGUGUAGACUUUGGAAGAACUACUUGAUGGUCGUAAGGCUGUUGAGUACAGAUGGAUUUUAAAAGGAAGACAGACAAUGAUGGUAAAUGCCACCAUUAAGAAAGCUCGACUUGUCGUUAAGAUGUUUCCUAACAAGUUCAAGGAGUUGACUAUGAUGAGACUUUCUCACUCGUAGCGAUGCUAAGAGUCUGUUGGAAUUAUAUUAGCGAUUACUGCAUUAUUUAUGAAAUCUUGCAGAUAGGAUGUCGAAACAUUGUUUCCUCGACGAUUUUCUUGAGGAAAGGUUGUAUGUGAUACAACCGGAAGGUUUUGUCAAUCCUGAAAGAUGCUAAUAAGUAUGCAAAGCUCCAGCAAUCCUUCUAAGGACUGGAGUAAGCAUCUCGGAGUUGGAAUGUACGCUUUGAUGAGAUGAUCAAAGUUUUGGGUGUAUACAAAGUUUAUGAGAAACUUGUAUUUCCAAAGAAGUGAGUGGGAGCACUAUAGAAUUUCUGAUGAAUAUAUGUUGUUGACAUAUUGUUGAUCAGAAAUGACAUAGAAUUUCUGGAAAGCAUAUAGGGUUAUUUGGAAAGUGUUUUUCAAUGGAAAGCCUGGAUGAAGCUACUUGAGCAUUGAGCAUCUUGAUCUAUAAGGAUAGAUCAAAACACUUAAUGGAACUUUCAAAUGAGCACAUACCUUGACAUGAUCUUUAAGGUGUUCAAGAUGGAUCAGUCAAAGAAGGAGUUCUUGCCUGAGUUGUAAGGUAUGAAGUUAAGAUUUAAAGCUCGACCACGGUAGAAUAGAGAGAAAGGACGAAGGUCGUCCCCUAUGCUUAAGACGUAGGCUCUACAGUAUGUUAUGUUGUGUACCGCACCUAAAGUGUGCCUUGCCAUGAGUCAGUCAAGGGGUACAAGAGUGAUCCAAGAAUGGAUCACAGGACAGCGGUCAAAGUUAUCCUUAGUAACUAGUGGACUAAGGAAUUUUCUCGAUUAUGGAGGUGGUAAAAGAGUUCGUCGUAAAGGGUUACGUCGAUGCAAGCUUAACACCUAUCCGGAUAGCUCUGAGUAGAGAUACCGGAUACAUAUAAUGGAGCAACAAUUUAGAAUAGCUCCAAGUAGAACAGUUAUUUGGAAUAGCUCCAAAUAGAACGUGGUAGCUUCAUCUAGGAGAUGACAUAGAGAUUUGUAAAGCACACACGGAUCUGAAAGGUUCAGACCCGUUGACUAAAACCUCUCUCACAAGCAACAUGGUCAAACCCAGAACUCAUUGAGUGUUAAUCACAUAGUGAUGUGAACUAGAUUAUUGACUCUAGUAAACUCUUUGGAUGUUGGUCACAUGGCGAUGUGACCUGUGAGUGUUAAUCACAUGGCGAUGUGAACUAGAUUAUUGACUCUAGUGCAAGUGGGAGACUAUUGGAAAUAUGCCCUAGAGGCAAUAAUAAAUUGAUUAUUAUUAUAUUUCCUUGUUCAUGAUAAUCGUUUAUUAUCCAUGCUAGAAUUGUAUUGAUAGGAAACUCAGAUACAUGUGUGGAUACAUAGACAAUACCAUGUCCCUAGAAAUAUAAUUUUGACAAUCUAAAGUAAACUAAAACAAUGACUUAACUAAACUCACAGAUACAGAGCUAUCAAAGUAUCAAAGGGGUGCAAUUUAAUAAAAUAAACAUGUAGAUACAAAUCUCUUUUCUAACUAUAUAUAUAUAUAUAUAUAUAUCCAUGAAGAAUGUGCAACUACGCAUAGAAAAUAAACUUAAAUGGAUGUUUUAAUUGAUGAAACAAAACAUAUUAAACUCAACUAUAUUAUGGUAUCUCUAUCGCAUGACCAUCAUGUUUAUCUGAAUUGAUAAACUUGAUUUUUGUAUCUUCUAUAUAUUAAAUCCUUGAGGAAUUUCAUUUCAGUUUCAGCAUGAGUGGUCCUAUGUUUUCUGUGUUGUGUUGUGGUUUAGCGAAAUGUAGCCUUAAAGGUGCAAUGUAGUUUAGCUAUACUUCUGAAAGGGCAAGUGCUUUACCUUUGGAUGUUAUCGCGUCUACAAUGAUUCCAAGGCUUCCAAAUUGCAUUGCAUGAAUUGUUACAACAUGAAGGUCAUAUAUAAAUAAUUUGACUUUGGAAGGAGCCGCGGUACUUGAAAAUGGACAUGGCUAACAAUUUCAAAUGUAACUACUAUAGACAACAUUCUGAACAACACCAUAUCUCACUAAAGUUCCUAUCAUGAACUUUCACCUUAACUUCGAAAUAUUUGUCCUUCCUGGCGUAGAAACUAUUAGCGAACACAGUAAUACAAUAUUUUUGCUACAAUAAAAUAACAAAGAAAUGAUGGUCUCAGAGAACCUUAUACUGAAACCAUGAUUUGUGUUCGUAGUAGUAAAACCUUGCAGGGGGCAGAGGAUGCUGUUGGAGAUAUGCUUGGCCAAAGGGCAUCACACAAUGGCAGUUAUUGGAUCUAACACCACCAUCAGUGUAUACCCAAAAUUGACGUUAAGGGAACUGGUGGGUGGCAAGAGGAAUGAGGGCGCAUAUCUACUGCAUUGUGGACACUGAUGGUGUUUGUUAUUGGUGGGAGGGGGUCGAACAAACAAACAACUUCUAGUAGAGAUUUGGUAAGUGUUAUUAAUUGUUUUGCUAAGUGCGGGCAGACCACGACGUACCAUUAUGGAGGAUUUGAAUGAUGAACCAUCAUUCAUCAAUUUCAAUUUCUCUACUCCUAUAGAAGACUCAGUUGGUGAUGAUGGUGUAUCUGCCACCUGUCAUUUAUGACCAUUAGAUCUGCAUCUAACGACUGUGAUGUAAGUUGUGGCCUUUUUGCAACAAUAUCCCACUUCUCUGCUCUAAUUUCUCUACUCCUAUAAAAGACUUAGUUGGUGAUGAUGGUGUGUCUGCUAUCCGUCAUGUUUGACCACUUGGUCUGCAUCUAACGACUGUGAUGUAAGUUGUGGCCUUUUUGCAAUAAUAUCCCACUUCUCUACUCAAAUUUACAGAAAACCCCUUAGUAUCUUGAAACCAACCACAUUUCUCCCUUAUCUCAUCAAAACAGCCCAAGAAAUAUAUUUUGAGUGAAACAUAAGAUAUUUUUAGUGAUAUAUAUAUAUAUAUAUAUAUAUAUAUAUAUAUAUAUAUAUAUAUAUAUAUAUAUCAAAACUAGACUGUUUUCUUUCAAAUUUUUGACCGUAUUAUUGUACUUUGGAUCUGUUGCAACACAUAGGCACAUUGCUAGUAACAGUAGAGAUUUCACCAAUUUCCAUUUAAUAGUAGAGAUUUGGUUGUUAGGAAAGGCAGAGAUCGAUGUAUUAGGAAAGUAUGGGUUUGGCAUUGAUUGUCACAAAAUUGGACUUCAUUGUUUGGUAAAGUGUUAUCGGUUCCUACCCGUUUGUAACGUGGUUGGAUAGGAAAGUUUUUAUUGUAGGAUGAAAAAACCAGUGUGAAGGGGUGGUGGUGGGAGGUGAGACAAAAAACCCAGAAGAAAUGAAACAAGACAAAAAAUAACCAUGGAUGGGAGGCUUUCAAGUGAGACAUCAUGAGUAGAGAUUAGUAAGUUUUCGAUGGUGUAUUCGUAUCCCAAGGUAGCUAAACAGGAGCUUAUCAAUCUCAUGACCGAAUAGUUGCGUGUAAUGAUUUUUGUACUCUUUGGCAUAUCCGAAACCGAGUAAUUUUUUUGAGAGCUCAAUAAAUUUUUUGAUUUUUUUUCAACAUGGGGCGCACAAAGAAAAAGAAUCCUCCUACGCUGGAUAAUUAAAAUAACUGCCUGAUCAUAGGAGCUGUAAAAGUAGCUUCUGCCCUACGAAUACUAGGAGAAGCAAAUGUAUUUGAAAAGGGUGCACGUUGAACAUAUAUGCGGGUUAAGAUAAAUAUUGCAGAAGGAGGUGUGCAUCGUGUCGGCUCCUUGGAGGCAUGGAUGCAAUCGCUAGUGCUACAUCACGCUAUGCUUGAGAAAAGAAGCACAAACAUGAUUAGGACCACCAAGAGAAGCCUUGUGCCACUUCUCUUCAAUGUAAGCCAUUGGCGUAAGUACUUAACACACAUCACUUGGAGUACAUAUGUCGAGUACUUAAAAAUCUAAUCUUCAAGCUAGCCAACCCAAAGGAGUCAGUACCACAUGUGAAGGCCAUAAACCAUGCUAGGAGAUAGAAAUUACUCUCAAUUCGCUGUCACGGUAAUUAAAUUACGAUCUACUUCUAUUUGAGGCAUAUAUAAUUUUAUGAUAGAUGAAGUGGAAGAAGGAACAAGGCUUGAAGGUGGAUUAGCAAGCGAAUGAAUCUGAUGAAGCUAUUCCUCCACUAGAAUAAGGGGGGCAUGAUCGCUGAUUUGACCGGGUAGACCAGAUGAGCGAGAUUGAUUGAAAGUGUUGUGCCAACUUGUGUACAAGAUUUCUAGUGUAAAAAACGCUCUUAUAUUAUGGAACGGAGGAAGUACAUCAGAGACUGCACCACCCCGAGCAUGUAGCUCCACCACGGUGGCAAAAUACAAACAUGAAGUAGUAUAGAUUGAAGCCAUUAAGCAAGACCCUGAAACAAAUAGGAGUUGGUCGGCGUGGGAGAGGACGAUCUUGUUAAUGAGCACCCUGAAUCCGCUGUCGUGAACACGGCGGUCAUGUCAACACUCAACACACAACUUUGGCCCAGGCAGAGGAGGUAAAAGUAAAAUAAGACCAGUUCCAUUCACAUACACAUAUGAAGUCUGAGAAAAAUGCACAAAACAACAGGGUGACAAUGCUAAGGAAGAUGGCAUACAUCACAAAACUAAACCGCGAAGGUUUUGAAUUACCACCGGCUUUUGGGGUGUCCUUGAUUAAUCUGGGCGUGAUAGUUGUUUUGCUACAGUUUUGGUCUGCCUCAAUUUUUAUCUCUUUGGUUUUUCUGCCAGUUUUCAAGCCUGUGGGGGUUGGUUCACCACUUUAGUGCUAGACUAGUAAGUUACACGUGCCUUGCACGAGAGAGUGAAGUGUGACCCAAUAUCGACACACCACAUUAUAAUAGACAAACAUAUACAUUUGGAGCCCGGCACAAAAUAAAUUUAAGUUGUAGGUUUAAGCCUGAUCGCCCAUCCGAUUCGAAAUCAAAUUAUAACUACAUAAUAUUUGAUGAAUGUGGUAAUACACAAAACUCAUGUGAAACAUAUAAGAACAGUUGGGUACUCCAUUUGCAAAGAAAAUUGGAAUUUGGGAAGAUGUUGCAUUAGCUUUGAACCAAAAAAAUUAAAGUAAAAAAUAAAUGUCAAUUCUUUUGGAAGAAAAAAAACUUGGGAGAACUGAAGUAUGGAAGAGUAGAACAAAUGAGAAGUGUAUGUGUUAUCUGCAUAAUGUACAAUGCAAAUGAUAGAAUAAUCAUGAAUGUCAUGCAAAAUUGAAGUAUGGAAGAAUUUAGAACAAAGAAGAAGUGUCUUCGUUUUCAGCUUUGCUAAGCACAAGUGUGGAAUCUUUCGGAUUAGUAACAUGUGGCAGAAUCCAAUAUGGUGGAGAGAGUAUCCAACGGUCAAGACUACUCGGAUUUGCCACCUCUGAACCGUUAGAUCGGCUCCAUCCAAUAACCGAUAUUCGAAGUUAAUCAUACACAAUAUCAUGGUAAGAUAUAGGAAUAUAGAUAUAGAUAUUUUCAUUCCUUCUGCGCGCAUCUUGUGUUACCUGAAAAAAAUUAUGCCCGUACCUCUGGCGGUCUCUCCUUCUGCCCACCCCUCCUCUCCCCGAUUGAGGCGGCGCCCUCCUUGCCUUCCCUCCAGGUGCUCCACAUCUCUCAAGCGGCGGCGCCUCUCCUCUUCCCAUCAGGGUCUUUCGUGCUCGCCGCUGCCUCACAUCGGAGAAGCUCCUUGGUCUCUGGACGUGGAGGUGGAGCUAAGGGCACCUUGAUCUCACGACCUGUCCUCCGAAUGAAUUGUUUUUCUUCGGACUUGCAUAUAUACAGUUAUCUGGCCCCACAAAUAAACCGAUAUAUGAUUAGAUAUACAUAACGUUACAGACAUAUACAGAGUCUUAUACAACACAAAAAGACCAUAUACAUAAACAUAUGUGCGAAUCUUGGCGCAGAUCAACGGCCCAUAAAGUGCGUGCCUUGUUUCGUCCGAAUUCAAUCGAAGGAAAAAAAAAAACUUCGCGCUGAAGUUCAUCUCACUGAAAAAAAAGAGAAGUCGCCGCUGCAUUGUAUAUUGCUCUCCUCGGCUCGACUGCUCUGUUCUUCUUCCCCAUCCCCGCACUUUCCUCCACCGACCAUCCUCCGGCGAACAACCGCUUCUGCCGGAUCUGAUGGAGACCGGGAUUGUGUGGCUGGUGCAGGCCAUCCUCGGAACACUCCGAAUCGACAAGCUGGAUGCGUGGAUCCGCCAAGCCGGGCUUGCCGACGACAUCGAGAGGCUCCGGUGCGAGAUCGAGAGGGCCGAGGUGGCGGUCAGCGCAGUGAGGGGGCGGGCGGCCGUGAACGAGCCGCUGGACCGGUCUCUCGCUCGCCUCAAGGACCUGCUCUACGAAGCCGACGAUGUGGUCGACGACCUCGACUACUGCAGGCUCCAGCAGCAGGUCCAAGGAGGUACGCGUAGCCCCUGUAGAUCCAUCAUAUGCGGUACAAAGAGAGAUUUCAUCACAUGCCUCACACUAGUUUGCACUUGGAUCAUAUGCGCAUUUACCAUGUCAAUUUGAUAAGAGCAGCAUCCCGAUAGUGUAUCGGAGGAGACCAAAAUGCCACCGGGCAAAACAGCAGCUGUUCUGCUCUUAUUUCUACCCUUCAGACUUCCCUAAAUAGGCCCCAUAUAUAACUCUAUCCCUAAAGAAAAUGGCAGGUCACAUGAUCAUCUUUGAUUCUUUUUCACUAAUGCACUCAAUAGCAGUGAAACAAGUAGGUCCAAAUAGCACUGAAUAGUCAAUA
rnacentral:lncRNA from 1 species